rnacentral:misc_RNA from 1 species
UUUCCGUAGGUGAACCUGCGGAAGGAUCAUUAUUGGAUUUUGAAACUUCAGGCUGCUGCUGGCUCUCCUCGGAGGGCAUGUGCACGCUUGUUGUCCAUUAUUUCUCCCACUGUGCACAAAUUGUAGAACUUUCAGUAGGCCUAUGUUGUUUUUCACAAUCUCUGAAUGUAAUAGAAUGGUUUUGAAUCUUGGGAAAUACAAUACAACUUUCAGCAACGGAUCUCUUGGCUCUC